AUUAUUAUUCACAUUUUGUUUAAUUAUUGGAUAAAAGCAGGAAGAUGUGUGUGCUUUAUUUUUUCACGAAAAACUAUUUGACUGUACAUAGUCCGUGUAGAUAUUUGUAAACCUGAGUCUGAGAACGAUAUUGUAAUAUAAAUAUAAUUGCAUUGGCAUUUUCAAUGAAAGUACAUUUUGUACUCCAAGAAGUAGAAGAAUCUAAGCAACAGAACAGAAUUCAUUUGAUGCAUUGCUUUCUAGAUUAUAUAAUGGAUUCAUAGAUUGUCAUAUUGAUUUAUAUGCAUAUAAGGAGCAGCAGGCAAUAAUUAUUUUGUGAUGAGAGCUUGUUACCAUGGUUACCAAAUGAAAGGAAAGUACAGUAUUAUAAUCACUGGUGUACAUGUAGGUGCGGAUGUCAGGCAAAAAGAACUGGUAUCAAAGAACUGAAAAGUAAAGAAACAGAACCAAAGAACAUUCAUUUUUAAUUAAUACAAUAUUGAGCUCAAAGUCAAUCUAGUUGUCUUUCUUAAUCAUACAGGAUAUUUACAAAAAGCAGCUGCAUACACAUGCACCAGUAAUAUACAGCAGUGAAGACAAUUAAAUAUCUGUGUAUGGAGGUAUAGCAAUAGAAAUAUCUCAUACAUCAUAGGAAAAUAGAAUAUAGACAAUAGAAAUGGAGUAUGUCAAAGAGACAAAAAUAUGAAAAUAGAAUAUAGACAAUAGAAAUGGAGUAUGUCAAAGAGACACACAUAUGGAAAUAGAAUAUAGACAAUAAAAUUGGGGUAUGUCAAAGAGACAAACAUGAAAAUAGAAUAUAGACAAAAGAAAUGGGGUAUGUCAAAGAGACACACAUAUGAAAAUAGAAUAUAGACAAUAGAAAUGGGGUAUGUCGAAGAGACAAACAAAUGAAAAUAGAAUAUAGACAAUAGAAAUGUGGUACAAUGUAUGUCAAGGAGACAAAAAUAUGAAAAUAGAAGAGACAACAACUUAAUAAAAAAAAUUCUACUUUAUAUAAACAUUAUGGAGCACUUAUUGUUUUUUAUUUGUUUGAGCUUUUGAUUUUGCUAUGUAUUUUCUGUGGAAUUUGGUAUUUUGGGUUUUUUACUUUUUAAAGCAACAACUCAUCAUAAUGAAGUAUUCACACUCAAAAUGAGUUCCUGUCAGAAAAAAAAGAUAACAAAUUAAAGAAAAACAUAUUAAAAAACAUCAAAACGUUACCCUUAAAAACCUAUCGCAAAAAAAAAAAUACACAUAUAUACAAACCAUGUUUAGAAUCUAUGAAAAAAUAAAUGCAUUUGAACAAUUAAAAACAUAUAAAAAAUAUAUAUUUAGGACCAAGAUAAAAUCAUAUGAAAACAUAUGUUUGGGCCAAACAUAUGAAAACAUAUGUUUAGGACAAACAUAUGAAAACAUAUGUUUAGGCCAGGUAUGAAAACAUAUGAAAAACAUAUGUUUGUAAAAAACAUAUGAAAAACAUAUGUUUUUCAUAUGUUUACAUGUAUGAAAAACAUAUGUUUUUCAUAUGAUUUUAAAAACAUAUGUUUUUCAUAUGUU